rnacentral:rRNA from 1 species
UACGUAGGGUGCAAGCGUUAAUCGGAAUUACUGGGCGUAAAGCGUGCGCAGGCGGUUGUGCAAGACAGAUGUGAAAUCCCCGGGCUUAACCUGGGAAUUGCAUUUGUGACUGCACGGCUAGAGUGUGUCAGAGGGGGGGUAGAAUUCCACGUGUAGCAGUGAAAUGCGUAGAUAUCUGGAGGAAUACCGGUGGCGAAGGCGGCAUCCUGGACCGGCAUUGACGCUGAGGAGCGAAAGCCAGGGGAGCAAACGGG